AUUGAACGCUAGCGGGAUGCCUUACACAUGCAAGUCGAACGGAGUGGCGACCGGGUGAGUAAUGUAACGGAACGUGCCCAGUCGCGGGGGAUAACUACGCCAAAGCGUAGCUAAUCCCGCAUACUCUUGGAGCGGUCGAUAUCGGAUUAGCUAGUGGGUGGGGUAACGGCUCACCAAGGCGACGAUCCGUAGCUGGUUUGAGCGGACGACCAGCCACACUGGGACUGAGACACGGCCCAGUCUCCUACGGGAGGCAGCAGUGGGGAAUUGUGGACAUUGGGGGAAACCCUGAUCCAGCCAUCCCGCGUGUGCGAUGAAGGCCUUCGGGUUGUAAAGCACUUUUGGCAGGAAAGCGGUACCUGCAGAAUAAGCCCCGGCUAACUACGUGCCAGCAGCCGCGGUAAUUC
rnacentral:rRNA from 1 species